rnacentral:lncRNA from 1 species
GCAUAGCAGGCCGGAACAUACUCCUAGAAGAAUAAUUAGACAAAUCCUUAGUUUGCCUCCUCUUCAUAGCUUGCAAUGUUCAAAUAAUUUUUCUGUUUAUCCCUUAGCUAAACACACUAUAUUACCUUUCAUAAAAGUACCACUAAAGACACAAUUGUCUUUGAUUUUUUGCACAUUGAUGUGCGGGGUCCUUAUCAUGUAC